rnacentral:rRNA from 1 species
AUUGAACGCUGGCGGAAUGCUUUACACAUGCAAGUCGAACGGCAGCACGGGUGCUUGCACCUGGUGGCGAGUGGCGAACGGGUGAGUAAUGUAUCGGAACGUAUCCAAUAAUGGGGGAUAACUAACCGAAAGGUUAGCUAAUACCGCAUACGCCCUACGGGGGAAAGCAGGGGAUCUUCGGACCUUGCGUUAAUGGAGCGGCCGAUAUCUGAUUAGCUAGUUGGUGAGGUAAAGGCUCACCAAGGCUUCGAUCAGUAGCUGGUCUGAGAGGACGACCAGCCACACUGGAACUGAGACACGGUCCAGACUCCUACGGGAGGCAGCAGUGGGGAAUUUUGGACAAUGGGGGCAACCCUGAUCCAGCCAUUCCGCGUGAGUGAAGAAGGCCUUCGGGUUGUAAAGCUCUUUCGCAAGGGAAGAAACGAUACAGUCGAAUAAACUGUGUUAAUGACGGUACCUUGAUAAGAAGCACCGGCUAACUACGUGCCAGCAGCCGCCGCCGUAA